GGAGAGGUUUUUCAUAUGAUCUUUUCUUCUUUCCUCUCUUCCUCUUUUUCUUACUCCUCUUUUCUCUAAAUUUUCUCUUUUUCUUUUCUCUUACUUUCUUCUUUUUUCACAAUUUUUCUCUUUUUUUCUUUUCUUAUUUUUUAUUUAUUUUUGCAUAUUUUUUCUUUUUUUCUUCUUUCUCAUCAUCUUUCUCUCUCUCACUCAACCUUUUGGUUUCUUCUUCCUCUAUUUUUUUUCUCCUCUAUCUCUAUCUUUUCCUCAUCUCUCUCUAUUUUUUCUUCCUCAACAACCUUUUCU
rnacentral:lncRNA from 1 species